GACGAACGCUGGCGGCGUGCCUAAUACAUGCAAGUAGAACGCUGAGGAGAGGAGCUUACUCUUCUUGGAUGAGUUGCGAACGGGUGAGUAACGCGUAGGUAACCUGCCUUGUAGCGGGGGAUAACUAUUGGAAACGAUAGCUAAUACCGCAUAACAAUGGAUGACACAUGUCAUUUAUUUGAAAGGGGCAAUUGCUCCACUACAAGAUGGACUUGCGUUGUAUUAGCUAGUAGGUGAGGUAAUGGCUCACCUAGGCGACGAUACAUAGCCGACCUGAGAGGGUGAUCGGCCACACUGGGACUGAGACACGGCCCAGACUCCUACGGGAGGCAGCAGUAGGGAAUCUUCGGCAAUGGGGGCAACCCUGACCGAGCAACGCCGCGUGAGUGAAGAAGGUUUUCGGAUCGUAAAGCUCUGUUGUAAGUCAAGAACGGGUGUGAGAGUGGAAAGUUCACACUGUGACGGUAGCUUACCAGAAAGGGACGGCUAACUACGUG
rnacentral:rRNA from 1 species